AGGACGAACGCUGGCGGCGUGCUUAACACAUGCAAGUCGAACGAGGCGCUUGCGCCUAGUGGCGAACGGGUGAGUAACACGUGAGCAACCUGCCCUUGGCUCUGGGAUAGCCUCCGGAAAACGGGGAUUAAUACCGGACAUGACCUUCUCCUGCAUGGGGGAGGGUGGAAAGUUUUUCGGCCAGGGAGGGCUCGCGGCCUACCAGCUUGUUGGGGGGGUAACGCCCACCAAGGCGACGACGGGUAGCC
rnacentral:rRNA from 1 species